rnacentral:rRNA from 1 species
GAGUUUGAUCAUGGCUCAGGAUGAACGCUGGCGGCGUGCUUAACACAUGCAAGUCGAACGAACCUUCGGGUUAGUGGCGGACGGGUGAGUAACGCGUGGGAAUCUGCCCUCAGGAGGGGGAUAACGGUUGGAAACGACCGCUAAUACCCCAUAUGCCGAGAGGUGAAAUGAAUUUCGCCUGAGGAUGAGCCCGCGUCUGAUUAGCUUGUUGGUGAGGUAAAGGCUCACCAAGGCAUCGAUCAGUAGCUGGUCUGAGAGGAUGAUCAGCCACACUGGACUGAGACACGGCCCAGACUCCUACGGGAGGCAGCAGUGGGGAAUUUUCCGCAAUGGGCGAAAGCCUGACGGAGCAACGCCGCGUGAGGGACGAAGGCCUCUGGGCUGUAAACCUCUUUUCUCAAGGAAGAAGAUAUGACGGUACUUGAGGAAUAAGCCACAGCUAAUUCCGUGCCAGCAGCCGCGGUAAUACGGGAGUGGCAAGCGUUAUCCGGAAUUAUUGGGCGUAAAGCGUCCGCAGGCGGCCUUUCAAGUCUGCUGUUAAAGCGUGGAGCUUAACUCCAUCAUGGCAGUGGAAACUGAUUGGCUUGAGUAUGGUAGGGGCAGAGGGAAUUCCCGGUGUAGCGGUGAAAUGCGUAGAUAUCGGGAAGAACACCAGUGGCGAAGGCGCUCUGCUGGGCCAUUACUGACGCUCAUGGACGAAAGCCAGGGGAGCGAAAGGGAUUAGAUACCCCUGUAGUCCUGGCCGUAAACGAUGAACACUAGGUGUCGGGGGAAUCGACCCCUUCGGUGUCGUAGCUAACGCGUUAAGUGUUCCGCCUGGGGAGUACGCACGCAAGUGUGAAACUCAAAGGAAUUGACGGGGGCCCGCACAAGCGGUGGAGUAUGUGGUUUAAUUCGAUGCAACGCGAAGAACCUUACCAGGGCUUGACAUCCUGCGAACCUUUAAGAAAUUAGAGGGUGCCUUCGGGAACGCAGUGACAGGUGGUGCAUGGCUGUCGUCAGCUCGUGUCGUGAGAUGUUGGGUUAAGUCCCGCAACGAGCGCAACCCACGUUUUUAGUUGCCAGCAUUUAGUUGGGCACUCUAGAAAGACCGCCGGUGAUAAACCGGAGGAAGGUGUGGAUGACGUCAAGUCAUCAUGCCCCUUACGUCCUGGGCUACACACGUACUACAAUGCUACGGACAAAGGGCAGCAAACUCGCGAGAGCUAGCAAAUCCCAUAAACCGUGGCUCAGUUCAGAUCGUAGGCUGCAACUCGCCUACGUGAAGUAGGAAUCGCUAGUAAUCGCAGGUCAGCAUACUGCGGUGAAUACGUUCCCGGGCCUUGUACACACCGCCCGUCACACCAUGGAAGUUGGCCACGCCCGAAGUCGUUACUUUAACCCUUGUGGAGAAGGACGCCGAAGGUGGGGCUGAUGACUGGGGUGAAGUCGUAACAAGGUAACC